rnacentral:rRNA from 1 species
AGCGAACGCUGGCGGCAGGCCUAACACAUGCAAGUCGAACGAAGUCUUCGGACUUAGUGGCGGACGGGUGAGUAACACGUGGGAACGUACCUUUUGGUUCGGAACAACUCAGGGAAACUUGAGCUAAUACCGGAUGAGCCCUUAGGGGGAAAGAUUUAUCGCCGAAAGAGCGGCCCGCGUUAGAUUAGCUAGUUGGUGAGGUAAAGGCUCACCAAGGCUACGAUCUAUAGCUGGUCUGAGAGGAUGAUCAGCCACACUGGGACUGAGACACGGCCCAGACUCCUACGGGAGGCAGCAGUGGGGAAUCUUGCGCAAUGGGCGAAAGCCUGACGCAGCCAUGUCGCGUGAAUGAUGAAGGUCUUAGGAUUGUAAAAUUCUUUUACCAGGGACGAUAAUGACGGUACCUGGAGAAAAAGCCCCGGCUAACUUCGUGCCAGCAGCCGCAGUAA